GGAGAGAUGCCGGAGCGGCUGAACGGGACGGUCUCGAAAACCAUUAAGGGAGCAAUCCCUUCCAGGGUUCAAAUCCCUGUCUCUCCG
rnacentral:tRNA from 1 species